rnacentral:tmRNA from 1 species
GGGUUAGUAAAGGUUUCGACAGGGAUCCUGCAGGUGGAGAAGCUAUCCGAAGCCGAUCGUCAAACGGCAAACUUAAAUAUAAACGCUAAUAACAAUAAGUUAGCUCUGGCUGCCUGAUCGCAGUCAGCGUCGCCCGGAGGUCACCUGCGGCUUCCGGAUACGGCGCCAAUCACGCAGGAAACGACACGGGUCCUGUCUCAGAUCCGCGGGCGUAUUCGAGGCUACUGAUUCUGCCGGAUCGCUGAUCGUCCGGCUUUUGAGGGAAUGGUCUUAGGACACAACGCUCAGCUAUGAUAGUAGAAGUACAUUGAAUGGGUUUUUGGACACGGGUUCGAUUCCCGUCUAAUCCAGAA